AUGAACGCAGAGAUGAGUAAAUUGUGAUACUGCUUUCCAGAGAGUCAUCAUUUGGUGAGAGAUGAUAGUAGUUAGCAAUCGAAGAUGGUCUCAUAAGCAGUUCUCAUUGCCGAGCGAUUUAGUUAGGUGGUGUCGGGUACUCCCGUUACAGAGUUGGGGUUUGAAACUAGUAGUCCUUUUCGACUGCCAGUGAGUACCCGAGAAGGAAUAGCUUGUGAGGGUUAUUCGAAUUAAGGUGGUAACACGGAAGACGCUUCCGUCCUUGUC
rnacentral:ncRNA from 1 species